UCACCCGGUACAACACAAACUCUAACUCCUUAUCCUCCUUUCUCUCUCUCUCUCUCUCUCUCGCAGCUACACAACCUCCAAUGGCUUCUCAGAUCUAAGCGUAGCAGCGGAUAUUCUCGUAUUCGUCUUCUUAACCCAAAACGACACCGUUUCGCUAGGUAGCUUCACCAUGCCGAGACUAGCCUACUCCUUCCCUGAGGAGGUGCUGGAGCACGUGUUCUCCUUCAUCGAGUGCGACAAGGACCGCGGCUCCAUCUCCCUCGUCUGCAAGUCCUGGUACGAGAUCGAGGCCUGGUGCCGCCGCAGGGUCUUUGUCGGGAACUGCUACGCGGUGAGUCCGGCCACCGUGGUCAAGCGCUUCCCCAAGGUGAGAUCCGUGGCCAUCAAGGGCAAGCCGCACUUCGCUGACUUCAAUUUGGUCCCCGAGGGUUGGGGCGCCUACGUCUUCCCUUGGAUCAAGGCCAUGGCUGCUGCCUACCCUUGGCUUCAGGAGAUCAGGCUCAAGAGGAUGGUCAUCACCGACGAGUGCUUGGAACUCAUCGCCAAAUCCUUCAAGAACUUCUCCGUCCUCGUCCUCACCUCUUGCGAGGGUUUCACUACCGAUGGACUCGCUGCCAUUACCGCCAAUUGCAGGAACUUGAGGGAGUUGGAGUUGCGGGAGAGUGAAGUGGAGGACAUUUGUGGGCAUUGGCUAAGCCAUUUUCCUGAUUCGUACACGUCGUUGGUUUCCCUUAACAUUUCUUGCUUAGGCAAUGAGGUGAAUUUGUCUGCCCUAGAGCGUCUGGUUAGUAGGUGUACCAACCUGCAGACUCUCCGCCUCAACCGUGCAGUGCCCCUUGAGAAGCUAGCCAACCUUCUUCGCGGUGCUCCUCAGCUCGUUGAGUUGGGCACCGGAACCUACUCGACGGAGAUGCGACCGGAGGUCUUUGCAAACUUAGCAGAAGCAUUUUCUGGGUGCAAGCAAUUGAAGAGCUUGUCUGGAUUCUGGGACGUGCUCCCAUCCUACCUUCCGGCUCUUUAUCCUGUCUGCUCCAGCCUCACGUCAUUAAACUUGAGUUAUGCAACUAUUCAAAGCUCUGACCUUAUCAAGCUUGUUAGUCAAUGUGAGAGUUUGCAGCGUUUAUGGGUGCUGGAUUACAUAGAAGAUGCUGGACUUGAAGUGAUUGCUGCAUCGUGUAAGGAUCUGAGGGAGUUGAGGGUCUUUCCCUCUGACCCAUUUGGGUUAGAACCAAAUGUUGCGUUGACAGAGCAGGGACUUGUUUCUGUCUCUGAAGGCUGCACCAAGCUUCAGUCAGUUCUAUAUUUUUGUCGUCAAAUGUCGAAUGCUGCCUUGGAUACAAUUGCUAGGAACAGACCUAAUAUGACUCGUUUUAGGCUCUGUAUUAUUGAGCCUCGAGCUCCUGACUAUCUUACCCGUGAACCUCUGGAUGCUGGUUUUGGAGCUAUUGUAGAGCAUUGCAAGGAUCUUCGGCGCCUUUCCCUUUCUGGGCUCCUUUCGGAUCGAGUUUUUGAGUAUAUUGGGACUUAUGGUAAGAAGCUUGAGAUGCUUUCUGUGGCUUUUGCUGGAGACACUGAUUUGGGACUCCAUCAUGUGCUGUCUGGGUGUGACAACCUUAGGAAGCUGGAGAUCAGGGACUGCCCCUUUGGUGACAAAGCCCUUUUGGCGAAUGCUGCAAAGCUGGAGACAAUGCGAUCCCUUUGGAUGUCCUCUUGCUUGGUGAGUUACGGAGCGUGUAAACUGCUGGGUCUGAAACUGCCGAGACUUAAUGUUGAAGUCAUUGAUGAAAGAGGACCUCCAGAUUCAAGGCCAGAUAGUAGUCCUGUUGAGAAGCUAUACAUAUACAGGACCGUUUCUGGGCCAAGAUUGGACAUGCCAGGCUAUGUAUGGAGAAUGGAAGACGAUUCUGCAUUAAGGGUUUCUUGAGUGGAACGAGCCGUGAAAUUUAUGAAGCAUUUGAUGUGAGAAUUGUUGGUGCAGAAUUGAUCGGUGCUGUGGAAUAAACAAUCGGAAUGACUAAAUGAGAUAACCGCGUCUCCUAGUCCCAACGUAUGUGAACAGAGGGCUGGCUCUGCUGGUGGAAAGGUUUUUACAGUUUGACUGAGCGGUUUUACAUUGUUUCCAUCGGUUUUUACCUUAAUCUUGCAUCCAAGUCCAUUUUUUGGCUGCCUACGUUGGGUUUGAUAGAAUAUCUCGUUCAAAAAUAGAGUUAAAGCUGAAGAUAGUAAAACUUGCAAUGUUAUCUAAAGUAACAUUAAUUUGUAGCCUUGAUACCACCAGUGAUGAAAUUGUGAUUAUGUCAUUAAUCUCCGUCAUUGGAAUGAUCUCUUUUCACUCAAAGUUUUAAGGUUCGUUU